CUUAUACUCCCUCCGUUCCUAAAUUUUUGUCUUUCUAGAGAUUUCAACAAGUGACUACAUACGGAUGCAUAUAGACAUAUUUUAGAGUGUAGAUUCACUUAUUUUGCUUUGUAUGUAGUCAUUUGUUGAUAUCUCUAGAAAGACAAAUAUUUAGGAACGGAGGGAGUAUAAU
rnacentral:pre_miRNA from 1 species